AUAACCUUUUAAUUCAGUCCUGUGAGACAGAAAAGGGUGGCUUCUUCCUUGCACCCUAGUCUUACAUGACUAGGGUAUUUUUAUA
rnacentral:misc_RNA from 1 species